rnacentral:rRNA from 1 species
GACGAACGCUGGCGGCGUGCUUAACACAUGCAAGUCGAACGGAAAGGCCCUGCUUUUGUGGGGUGCUCGAGUGGCGAACGGGUGAGUAACACGUGAGUAACCUGCCCUUGACUUUGGGAUAACUUCAGGAAACUGGGGCUAAUACCGGAUAGGAGCUCCUGCUGCAUGGUGGGGGUUGGAAAGUUUCGGCGGUUGGGGAUGGACUCGCGGCUUAUCAGCUUGUUGGUGGGGUAGUGGCUUACCAAGGCUUUGACGGGUAGCCGGCCUGAGAGGGUGACCGGCCACAUUGGGACUGAGAUACGGCCCAGACUCCUACGGGAGGCAGCAGUGGGGAAUAUUGCACAAUGGGCGGAAGCCUGAUGCAGCAACGCCGCGUGCGGGAUGACGGCCUUCGGGUUGUAAACCGCUUUCGCCUGUGACGAAGCGUGAGUGACGGUAAUGGGUAAAGAAGCACCGGCUAACUACGUGCCAGCAGCCGCGGUGAUACAUAGGGUGCGAGCGUUGUCCGGAUUUAUUGGGCGUAAAGGGCUCGUAGGUGGUUGAUCGCGUCGGAAGUGUAAUCUUGGGGCUUAACCCUGAGCGUGCUUUCGAUACGGGUUGACUUGAGGAAGGUAGGGGAGAAUGGAAUUCCUAGUGGAGCGGUGGAAUGCGCAGAUAUCAGGAGGAACGCCAGUGGCGAAGGCGGUUCUCUGGGCCUUUCCUGACGCUGAGGAGCGAAAGCGUGGGGAGCGAACAGGCUUAGAUACCCUGGUAGUCCACGCUGUAAACGGUGGGUACUAGGUGUGGGGUCCAUUCCACGGGUUCCGUGCCGUAGCUAACGCUUUAAGUACCCCGCCUGGGGAGUACGGCCGCAAGGCUAAAACUCAAAGGAAUUGACGGGGCCCCGCACAAGCGGCGGAGCAUGCGGAUUAAUUCGAUGCAACGCGUAGAACCUUACCUGGGUUUGACAUGGAUCGGGAGUGCUCAGAGAUGGGUGUGCCUCUUUUGGGGUCGGUUCACAGGUGGUGCAUGGCUGUCGUCAGCUCGUGUCGUGAGAUGUUGGGUUAAGUCCCGCAACGAGCGCAACCCUUGUUCACUGUUGCCAGCACGUUAUGGUGGGGACUCAGUGGAGACCGCCGGGGUCAACUCGGAGGAAGGUGGGGAUGACGUCAAGUCAUCAUGCCCCUUAUGUCCAGGGCUUCACGCAUGCUACAAUGGCUGGUACAGAGAGUGGCGAGCCUGUGAGGGUGAGCGAAUCUCGGAAAGCCGGUCUCAGUUCGGAUUGGGGUCUGCAACUCGACCUCAUGAAGUCGGAGUCGCUAGUAAUCGCAGAUCAGCAACGCUGCGGUGAAUACGUUCCCGGG